UAAGAAUAGCAAAUCACUGUGUAGUACACCUGAAAUUAAUAUGAUAUUUAAAUCAGCUAUACUUCAGAGGAAGACAUUUUCAUACCUUGGAAUACCUCCAGGCAACAAUUAUUGGCUACUUGCUUGUACAUGAUUAUGGAAUUACUAUCUGCAUCUGUUUUCUGCCUUUUAGGUAUGUUUACAAAUCAGCCACAAGUUGUGGGUUUAUUAUACUAAAAAUUGCCCCCAGGAAUUUAUAACACACAGAGUUUUCACAAUCAAAUGGCAAAACUGAACCUUGGCCCCAGUAAAGAAAAUGAAAUAAAAUUUUAACUAGGAAGUUACUAAAGCAUAAUAUCUUAAGGGGUUUUUGUGUCAAGUAUUCAUGUCAUUAGUCCACAAUGUGUGCCAAGGGAUAAAGAGAAGAUAUUUAGUUACAUUCAGGAGAUUCUAAUGACAAUCAAGGGAACAGUUCAAGCUUGGACACAGGCCUCCAAAUAACAUGGGCUUUCCUAAGCCCUCAUUAGAGGAAUCAAUGCUCAUCUCUCUUCAGUCCUGACUUCUAAACUUAUCUUGGGAUAUUUCAAAAUUGUUCCUUCUACUGUGGAAGGUUUCCCCAGGUGCAGGGAAAACUGUUAGAGGAGAGUGUUGUGGGGGACAUGGUUGUCAUUCCACAGACCUCUGGGCCCACUUCCACCUCGGGCAGCAAGUAGAAGAUAUCUCAUGUGGAUUCCCAGCGCAGCAUAUGCAGACAAGUGAGGACAGGACCCAGGCCUAUCCUCUGUGGAUAUACGGCUUAGAGGAGAUGAUCAUUUAGCAAGCGAUUAGCCCAGGAUGGUAAGUGCUGUCUGGGGUUAAGUUCAGGGCAUAGGCAGACUUCCCAGAAAAGCUUAUGCUUGAACUGACUUGAAAGAUGGGUAGAGGUUGGCCCAGAGAAAGGAAGGGAGGGCAUUUCAGGUCAGGGGACUUAUCCAGCUCUACAAUUUAUUAACUGUGUGACUCCAGGCAAAAAUGCUUAAAAUAUGAGUUCCCCUAUCUGUAAUAUGGAAGUAAUAUUAUUACUACUGUUUAAUUAAAUAUAAUUAAUAUUACUAUUACUUAGUAAUAUUAUCU
rnacentral:lncRNA from 1 species